UACGAAGGGGGCUAGCGUUGUUCGGAAUUACUGGGCGUAAAGGGCGCGUAGGCGGUGUGUCAAGUCAGGCGUGAAAGCCCCGGGCUCAACCUGGGAACAGCGCUUGAGACUGGCACGCUCGAGUUCGGGAGAGGAUGGUGGAAUUCCCAGUGUAGAGGUGAAAUUCGUAGAUAUCUGGAGGAACACCGGUGGCGAAGGCGGCAUCCUGGACCGGCAUUGACGCUGAGGCGCGAAAGCCCAGGGGGAGCAA
rnacentral:rRNA from 1 species